AUUGAACGCUGGCGGCAUGCCUUACACAUGCAAGUCGAACGGCGGCGGGGGAGAAGCUUGCUUUUCCUGCCGGCGAGUGGCGAACGGGUGAGUAAUACAUCGGAACGUGCCCUGUAGUGGGGGAUAACUAGUCGAAAGAUUAGCUAAUACCGCAUACGACCUGAGGGUGAAAGUGGGGGACCGCAAGGCCUCAUGCUAUAGGAGCGGCCGAUGUCUGAUUAGCUAGUUGGUGGGGUAAAGGCCUACCAAGGCGACGAUCAGUAGCUGGGCUGAGAGGACGAUCAGCCACACUGGGACUGAGAAACGGCCCAGACUCCUACGGGAGGCAGCAGUGGGGAAUUUUGGACAAUGGGCGAAAGCCUGAUCCAGCAAUGCCGCGUGUGUGAAGAAGGCCUUCGGGUUGUAAAGCACUUUUGUCCGGAAAGAAAUGGCUCUGGUUAAUACCUGGGGUCGAUGACGGUACCGGAAGAAUAAGGACCGGCUAACUACGUGCCAGCCGCCGCCGUAA
rnacentral:rRNA from 1 species